CCCAGCUUAUACCUAGCGCUUAUACAUACCACAGCAAAAAUGAUAUUAUUUUUUCAGCAGUUCAUUGGUGCGGACCAUCUGCAUAAAAAUCAGAAAUAAUACUUAACAUGAUAAUCACUAAAUAUGAAUUCGUACCCUCAAUGGCUAUAAUUAUAGUCUUAAUCGUAAUCAAAAAUUCUUUUGCAGGUAAAUAUUUCAUCUUUUGUACUCUAGGGAAAUAAAUUUAAAAAAAUAACUGGGAAAAUUUAAUAAAUUUUGUUAACUGAAAUUUUUAUAUUGAUAAUAUUUUAUUCGGUAACUGAUUUACGAAAUUCUAGCAAUAGGCGAUAUUCCAGAGAACAGAAACCUGAAAAGGAAACUCGGUAUGUAAUAUUAUAAAUAAAUAGUUUUAUCAAAAAUGUAAUGGCAGAACUCACAAAUGUUGAAUAGUGUUUCACUAUUUCCUCCUACCCAAAAAAUUACAUAUUUGAAAAAUUCUAUUAUGUCCAAAAAUAAAAAUAUAACACGAACACAAUUCAAGGAUUAGUUUUUAAACAACAAAGAGUUUACAAAUUUACGAGAAAGUUCCGAAAAAUUCAGAACAAAAAUAAAAAUUUCGUAGAGGAAAAUCAUCAAACUCUGUUAAACCACUUUCUGUAGUUUGUACAAUUUUAAAUUGUCCACGUACUCGUAUGUAUGAUGUCAAUACAAUAAUCAAAGAAUCAAAUUUUCCGUUUUUACUUCCUGUGCUCUUUUUUAGUCUAUAUGGAUUUUAAAUCUUAUGAGAAGGUAAAGUAAAAACCACAGGACUCGUCCCCCCCCCUCGUUACUACACACUCAGUCUUUGUAAUGUUUGUGAACCUUUUAUUUACUUUUUUCAUUAUUUUUUUCUUUUAUAAUGUGUUAUUAGCAUUGUUUAAAAAAAAAAAAAAAAAAAUGGUUUAGUAUUUGAAUAAUAAUUUGUUGUUUCCCAUGUACAUGACAAGACUAUCGGACAGAAGAACCUAAUAAACGAG